rnacentral:rRNA from 1 species
AAAAGUCACAGGAAGAAAAGUGUAAAGCGGUGAAAUUCCAAUCGAACCUGGAGAUAGCUGGUUCUCUUCGAAAUAGCUUUAGGGCUAGCCUCAAGGUAAGAGUCUUGGAGGUAGAGCACUGAUUGGACUAGGGGCCCCUACCGGGUUACCGAAUUCAGUCAAACUCCGAAUGCCAAUGACUUAUCCUUGGGAGUCAGACUGCGAGUGAUAAGAU